GCGUUAAUCGGAAUUACUGGGCGUAAAGCGCGCGUCGGUGGCUUGAUAAGCCGGUAGUGAAAGCCCCGGGCUCAACCUGGGAACGGCAUCCGGAACUGUCAAGCUAGAGUGCAGGAGAGGAAGGUAGAAUUCCCGGUGUAGCGGUGAAAUGCGUAGAGAUCGGGAGGAAUACCAGUGGCGAAGGCGGCCUUCUGGACUGACACUGACACUGAGGUGCGAAAGCGUG
rnacentral:rRNA from 1 species